CUACGGGGGGCUGCAGUGGGGAAUCUUGCGCAAUGGGCGAAAGCCUGACGCAGCAACGCCGCGUGUGGGAAGACGGCCUUCGGGUUGUAAACCACUUUCAGGGGGGACGAAGCUUCCAGGGUUAAUAGCCCAUGGGGUGACGGUACCCUCAGAAGAAGCCCCGGCUAACUACGUGCCAGCAGCCGCGGUAAUACGUAGGGGGCGGGCGUUGUCCGGAAUCGUGGGGCGUAAAGCCCGUGUAGGCGGCUCGAGACCUUGGGGCUCAACCCCAGGCCUGCACUGGAUACUGUCGAGCUUGAGUCCGGGAGGGGAGAGCGGAAUUCCUAGUGUAGCGGUGAAAUGCGCAGAUAUUAGGAAGAACACCGGUGGCGAAGGCGGCUCUCUGGAACGGUACUGACGCUGAGACGCGAAAGCGUGGGGAGCGAACAGGAUUAGAUACCCUUGUAGUC
rnacentral:rRNA from 1 species